UCGCGCGAGAAAGCCCCUUCGGGGGUAAGUAAAGCGGCGGACGGGUGAGUAACGCGUGGACAACCUACCCUGGGGUUGGGGAUAACCCUGCGAAAGCGGGGCUAAUACCGAAUACGCUGUUUUUUUCCUGGGUGAUUUGUUUCACCGAGGUAAGAACCGGGAAAGGUGGCCUCUGAUGCAAGCUACCGCCCUGGGAUGGGUUCGCGUCCCAUUAGCUUGUUGGUGGGGUAACGGCCUACCAAGGCGACGAUGGGUAGCCGGCCUGAGAGGGUUGAUCGGCCCACACUGGGGACUGGAACACGGCCCAAGACUCCCUACCGGGAGGCAGCAGUGGGGAAUCUUGGGGCAAGGGGCGCAAAGCCUGACC
rnacentral:rRNA from 1 species